GAUGAACGCUGGCGGCGUGCCUAAUACAUGCAAGUCGAGCGAACAGACGAGGAGCUUGCUCCUCUGACGUUAGCGGCGGACGGGUGAGUAACACGUGGAUAACCUACCUAUAAGACUGGGAUAACUUCGGGAAACCGGAGCUAAUACCGGAUAACAUGUUGAACCGCAUGGUUUAACAGUGAAAGACGGUCUUGCUGUCACUUAUAGAUGGAUCCGCGCCGCAUUAGCUAGUUGGUAAGGUAACGGCUUACCAAGGCAACGAUGCGUAGCCGACCUGAGAGGGUGGUCCGCCACACUGGAACUGAGACACGGUCCAGACUCCUACGGGGGGGAGGAGUAGGGAAUCUUCCGGAAUUGGGGGAAGCCUGGCGGGGCAACGGCGGGGGGAGGAAAAAAGGCUUCGGAUCGGAAAACUCUUUUAAUAGGGAAAAAAAAAUGGUUUAGUAACUAUGCACGUCUUGACGGUACCUAAUCAGAAAGCCACGGCUAACUACGUG
rnacentral:rRNA from 1 species